rnacentral:lncRNA from 1 species
CCCCAUCUCUACUAAAAAUACAAAAUUAGCUGGGCAUAGUGGCGCAUGCCUGUAAAUAAUUAUGCUUUACACUUGGAUGUCUCAAGGUAGCGCUGGAGUAGUUAUUCUGAGCUACUGGAAUAUCAGCGAGUGCCACCUCCAGAGGGAGCUUCCCAGAGCCCAGCCCUGUACCAUCUCUGAGCUUCCAGGAGUCCCCAGCUCUCCAGCCGCAGAAUAAAACCUGCCUGGAAGCUGGCACUGGAGGGUCUCCAUGGGCCCAGCCUAACCUGUCCACACCCUCCCAGGGCUCCCCCUUCUACCACCCACACUUCUGGCCAGACUAUAGUGCCACUUGCUUAUCACACCCAGCCCAUUCCCAGGUGUUCCCAUUCAGUUUUCUGAUUCCACCAUCACUACUGCCUCUACCAACAUCCCAACCGACCCUUCAGGCCCAGCUCAAAUGAGACCUCUCCGAGGAGUUUCCCAGAUCCCCCUACCCAGGAAUGACCUGCUCCCCUAUCUCCCUAUGCAUGCCUCCCUAUGGUUCUAGCUGAUGUCUACUAGGCCUGGCUUCACCUAUGAGGCUGGGGUCAGGGUGGUUUCAUGGAUGUGUGACCUUGUGCAGUCUCACAAGGCUCACAAUUGGCUUCGCACUCUGCUGUUGCCAUCGUGAAAUCCUCAAUGAUUUAUGUGCCGCAAGGAGCUCCCAAUUUUCAUUUUGCACUGGGCCUGCAAACUGCAAACUGCAGAUGUGGUCCUGCUGAGGACUUCUCAAGGAUGAGGCUUUGGUUUAUCUCUGCAUCUCACAGACUGCAGCAGUGACUGGGACACAGUAAGGACUUAACAAAGGAGGGAAGGUGGGUAAUCAAGUUUUUAAAAUGAAAAUAAAGGAUUGCUGAAUAAAUGAACAACCAGAGAGGCGGCCACCAGCCAAGGACAAACAAAGCUGAAUCUGGAACACUGGCUUCCUGCUGUCCUCUCAGACUAAACGCAGACAAAUAAACGUCACCUUACCUACCCACCAGUGUCUCAGCAAGGAAGGAGAGAGAGAAGGAAACGUCACCUUACCUACCCACCAGUGUCUCAGCAAGGAAGGAGAGAGAGAAGGAGGUGAAAGUGCACUGAAGACCUAAUACACAAUGUAUACUUAAGCGGGACUGUCAGGGGACAAAGAACCAGAGCCAGUGGACAAAACCUCCGUUCCCAAACUCCAAGCCACCAAUGGAAGGCCUCACAUAGGAAGCUGUGGGUGGAAGAUGGUGAGGAAGCUGAGGCUCCAAGACACUAGGCAACUUACCUAAGCGUCACAGCUCAGAAACAGAAGCAGAUUUGGAGGCCAGAUCUGGGAGGCCACAAGGCUGGGUCCUUGGCACAGCCUCUACCUCCUCUCCAGGUCAUCUCCUGCAACCCCUCCCUGACCCAGCCACUGUCCAGUCACCACGGUGCCCAUGGUCACCUGGCACACCUGGCUGUGUCCUACAUUAAUGCAUAUCCUCACGCUUCUGCUUCUCCUGCCUGGAACGCACCUACCUAUCACCUAAUGAACUUCUACUCAGCCCAGAAAGCUCUGCUCUCAAGUUAUCUCCUUCAGGAGACAGACCUUCACCCCGGGGCCCCCUUCCAUAAGAGAAAAACGAUCCCCUUUGGCUGGGCAUGGUGGCUCACGCCUGUAAUCCUAACACUUUGGGAGGCCAA